rnacentral:rRNA from 1 species
GAAGCUUGGUGCUUGCACUGGGUGGAUGAGUGGCGAACGGGUGAGUAAUACGUGAGUAACCUGCCCUUGACUCUGGGAUAAGCCUGGGAAACUGGGUCUAAUACUGGAUACGACAUGUCACCGCAUGGUGGUGUGUGGAAAGGGUUCUACUGGUUUUGGAUGGGCUCACGGCCUAUCAGCUUGUUGGUGGGGUAAUGGCUCACCAAGGCGACGACGGUAGCCGGCCUGAGAGGGUGACCGGCCACACUGGGACUGAGACACGGCCCAGACUCCUACGGGAGGCAGCAGUGGGGAAUAUUGCACAAUGGGCGAAAGCCUGAUGCAGCGACGCCGCGUGAGGGAUGACGGCCUUCGGGUUGUAAACCUCUUUCAGCACGGAAGAAGCGAAAGUGACGGUACGUGCAGAAGAAGCGCCGGCUAACUACGUGCCAGCAGCCGCCGGUAAUACGUAGGGCGCAAGCGUUGUCCGGAAUUAUUGGGCGUAAAGAGCUCGUAGGCGGUUUGUCGCGUCUGCUGUGAAAGCCCGGGGCUUAACCCCGGGGUGUGCAGUGGG